UUGGGAGCCUUCAGACCAGACAGCGAUGUGAAGUUUGUUGUUGCCAGAUACUUUAAAGAUAAAAGAUAAAAGUUAGGGCAAAAAUUCUGCCUUGUAAUUUGUUAGUCCUGUUACAGUAGCUGCCCAAGAAAACUGAAUUGCCCAGCUGUUGUUGCUGGCACUCUAAAUUCCUGGUAAUCACCUUUUAUCAUUUUCCCCAUGUGUCUAUAAAGCAAAAGGUUCCCAGGCAAAGAGAGCUGAGGAAAGAAUGAGGGAGUAAGGAAACCUCCCCCCCACCCCUACCCCAAAAGAGAGAAACUGCUGCCAUGCUUCAUUUAGAAUCACAGUGACUACCGUUUGGAAACAGUUCAAAGCCUGCCAGCUCUGGCAUUAGUUAGUGCAGUUAUUGCUGUCCUAAGGUACAAAAGUGAUAUAGAAAUCUCAGUGCUCUGCUAGGUUGUGGAGUGUUGGUAGGAGGUUGAGGAAACACCAAAGCAACUCCCUGCUAGCUGUGGAGGGUCCUGUCCAUUAAGCAGGUAUAACUGAUACUCAGGCCAGCCAAAAUGAUUGGACAAGGUUAUUGGCCUAUGUGUCCUUUGACCAGUAAGCGAAACCUUUGGCAUGGAUGCUUCAAGUCUGUGAACCUGAGCCCAGUGGCCUUCUGACCUUUUGGAUCUGAGCUCCAGAGAUGGCUGCAGCAGCAGUCGCUGGAAUUAUCCCUGUACUUCACUCACUCGCUGGUGAUGAGACCAGCUAUUACAUCGGACGCAAGCUGUGGUUUGGCUUUUUAGGAUUAUACACAGUGGUGAUCUAUGUGGAACGUUUGCCCUGGAUCUCUCUGAAUAGUGACUUUCGGUGCCAUGGUAACAUCUCUGCCCCCUGCAUGGGAGAGUGUUUUGAGCAACAUUUCAACAAGCCUAUCAUUGGGACCUGGUACAUGUCUUGUUUCCUUUUCCUUUGUGUAUUUCUCCUGAUGGAAUUCUUUGUCUUUCAACUGAGGCACAAGCAAAUCAAAGUCAAAGCUGGACAGGAAAAAGAAGUUGAAGUGAGCUCAAUGGUAGGAGUCCAAGAAGAAAGCCAAAGCCAAAGGAGUGUUCCCGUUAUAGACUUUCACAUUCAGAAGUCACUUCUAAGCUUGUACCUUUUUAACUUCUUACUGCAGCUGGUUAUCCAGUCAGUGUUCCUGUCUAUUCUACUCAAUGAUCACCUGCCACGGGUCAAUAGCGCCUCCAUAUUAUGUAGCACCAAGCUCUGCCCAGGUCCUUACAACUGCCUGGUGAUGGGAUCAAUGGAAAAGAGGAUGUCGAUUUACACUCUGGCGACACUUGCUAUACUUAUUAUUAUCUUUUGCAGUGCAAUUUUCAUAUAUAGUAUUCAUCAUUACCUGCUGAAAGGACUAGAGCAGCUGAGAGCUAGAGACUUAUGGCUAUGGGAAGUUUGAUACUGUAUUCAAAGCCACAGAAUGGAUAAACUUCCACAAGUUACUCCUGAAUUGUAGAGAGCAUAUAAAAAGCUCUGACUUUUUACUUUUUCCUAUAAUUAUUUUUUCUGGUGUAGUGAUGCACAGAAAGUAUCUGUUUUUGAUGACAUGUCAUUGGGAGUCAUAUCUAUUCAUCAUCUCUUGCUAUUGAAU